rnacentral:rRNA from 1 species
AUUGAACGCUGGCGGCAGGCCUAACACAUGAAAGUCGAACGAGUGGCGGACGGGUGAGUAAUGUCUGGGAAACUGCCUGAUGGAGGGGGAUAACUACUGGAAAAGGUAGCUAAUACCGCAUACCAUCGGAUGUGCCCAGAUGGGCUUAGCUAGUAGGUUGGGGAAAGGCUCAACUAGGCGACGAUCCCUAGCUGGUCUGAGAGGAUGACCAGCCACACUGGAACUGAGACACGGUCCAUACUCCGACGGGCGGCAGCAGUGGGGAAUAUUGCACAAUGUGCGCAAGCCUGAUGCAGCCAUGCCGCGUGUAUGAAGAAGGCCUUCGGGUUGUAAAGUACUUUCAGCGGGGAGGCGUUACCCGCAGAAUAAGCACCGGCUAACUCCGUGCCAGCAGCCGCGGUAAUAC